rnacentral:tRNA from 1 species
UCCCGGAUAGCUCAGUCGGUAGAGCAGGUGGCUGUUAACCACCGCGUCGCAGGUUCGAAUCCUGCUCCGGGAG